AUGCUGGCAUGCAUCGCCUGCUCGACCAAGGACGGUGGGGAGGACGGCUCCCGUGCUGUCGGCGCACCCAACGGCAGGGACGCCGGCAAGUCCCUCACCUCACAGCUCAAGGACAUGGUGCUCAAGUUCUCCGGCUCCGGCAAGCACUACAAGGCCACCGGGAGCCCAUCUUUCAGGGGCAACCGCUUCCACCGCUCCAGCCGGCUGGCCGCGUACCCGGGCAUCAUCGACGACUCGGGCUUCACGUCCGACGGGGCCGGCGAGGCGUACAGCUACACGAGAACAACGUCGAGCGCGGGCGCCCCGUCAACAACGUGGGACAUGCCCAAGAUCAACCAUGGCUUCCAGCCGCACGCGAGGAACCCGAGCGCGAGCUGGAUACCGAGCAUCGGGGAGGAGGCCGAGGACGACGAAGACGAUGAGGAGGCCGUCGUCCUGGAGGAAGACCGCGUGCCGAGGGAGUGGACCGCGCAGGUGGAGCCCGGCGUGCACAUCACUUUCGUCUCCAUCCCCGGCGGCGCCGGCAACGACCUCAAGCGCAUCCGCUUCAGCCGGGAGAUGUUCAACAAGUGGGAGGCGCAGCGGUGGUGGGGCGAGAACUACGACCGCGUGGUGGAGCUGUACAACGUGCAGACGUUCCGGCAGCAGGGCCUCUCGACGCCGUCGUCCUCCAUCGACGACGCCAUGCAGCAGAGAGAAUCAUUCUACUCCCGCGCCGGCUCGACGAGGGAGAGCCCGGUGGUGCUGCCGCCGCCGUCCGCGACGGCGGCGAGCAGGGAGCGGCCCAUCACCCGGACCACGUCAUACAAGGCGGCGUGCCACCCGUCCACGGCCGUGCCGGACCCGUCGGACCACGUGUGGGCGCACCACUUCAACAUGCUCAACUCGGCCGCGGGGGCGGGCGCGUCGUCGAUGCCGUCGAGCGCCGGCGCCCCGGCGCCCUACGACCCGUCGCGCGCCACGACGUCGUCGCUGGACGAGGCGUCCGUGUCGGUGAGCAACGCGAGCGACCUGGAGGCGGCGGAGUGGGUGGAGCAGGACGAGCCCGGCGUGCACAUCACCAUCCGCGAGCUCGGCGACGGCACCCGCGAGCUCCGCCGCGUCCGCUUCAGCCGGGAGCGGUUCGGCGAGGAGCGGGCCAAGGUGUGGUGGGAGCAGAACCGGGACCGGAUACACACGCAGUAUCUGUAG
rnacentral:rRNA from 1 species